rnacentral:lncRNA from 1 species
AAAUGUCCCAGAAGCUGAUCGAUGUCUUUGUGCUCCUGCUGUGUUAAUUUGGGCUGUGCUUCAGCCUUCUCUCCCUGGGCUCUUGCAGUUGCAGUAUCUCUUGGGUGCUGUGCAGAACGGAAUCAGGCAGCCAAGCCUCAGGUUUCCCUUCUCCCUGACCCUCUACGCUGCUGGUGUGGCACAGCAGAUCCUGAAGCAGAGGAGCACGUGUACAUAAAGGUAAAGAGAUUCUUUCUGUCACACCAGUAUUUGGACCUGAGGAAGGUACCAGUUUUUUUCCAGCUUUUCUACAGUUUUGAUUCUGAGUACAAAACAGCAUGAGUGGAUACUCAGAUUUCUUGGGGAAGGGCUGCGUGACAAACAUUGCUGUGAGCUUUGUGACUAGCAGAGGAUUUUCCAGGUCAUUCUUUCAUUUUUCAACAGUCCUUUGUGUGACGAGGGCUCCCAGGUAAGAAUUGAAAAAGAAAGUCCCAAAAAACCCCAAACCACAGAAGCUUGCAUGACUUUGAGAUCUCAAGUACCAAACAGAAAGGAACAGCUGACUCUGCCUUGGUCCUCUUGAAAAUCU